AAUGCGUAAGGAAAAAAUGAAUGUGAGAGACAAGGGGAAGACAAAAACAGAACUGAAUCAUAAUCUACAAGGCUGCAGUGAAAGGAUUUGGCUUUCACAACCCGGUCCAGAAGCCUCAUUUCCUAGCCUGUGACUUGAGAUGCCUUUGCUGCUCCGGUCUGGGUUUUCCUUCUGCCUUGGCUUUUGGUUGACUGACAAGGGAGGCGUCCAAUCACCUGUGUUUGCUCUGCUACACCUGCUGCCACUCUCCUCGUCAGCCAUGGCUUUUAAGCCAUGCCAUGUGGAACACUCUUUGACAGAUAGUCACGUCUUUCAGUGUGGAUUCUUGCGGUUUCUCAUGUUCUUGCUGGAUUUACUGUUUUUUGACCAAGGAUUGUUUUUGGACUUUGUGAUUUUGCCUGAACCUUUUUGGAAACCUUUGCUUGGACUUUGCUUGCUCCUUGUUACCGACCUCUGCCUGUUCUGACACUUUUUUCCAGAUGAAGAGAAGAAGUAGCAUUUUCCACUGUGGUGAGCCCAUGCAUCUGGACAAACCCUACAACCAGAGGAGGCUACACACACAAGGACACAGACCUACUCUCUAGGUAUCAGCCAACAGGUUGGACUGAGAAUUACACCGACAGACCGUUAGGGGGACAAAACAGUCUCCUUCAAAAAAGCAAUCUCCUCAAAACUCACAAUGACAGAAUGCAAUGCAGAAUGGCACAAUGCAAUGUAAGAACUUACAAAGUUGUGUCUGGUUCAAGAAGUCAACUUUCCAGAAUUAAAAUGUGAAUUGAUUUAUUAUGAAUUAAGCCAAAGUUAUGACUAACUCUGUGAUUCCCUCUAGGUGACAGACCAAAUAUAAGCAAUCUAUAAUUUACAUGUGAUUACUUUUCAACAGCACAGAAUUGCCUAAUGUUUAUCCAUGCAACCACAAAAAAAGAUUGUCAGUAAAAUAAGCCAACCAACAA